rnacentral:rRNA from 1 species
CCGAGCGGUGAGGGAUGAAAGCUAGGGGAGCAAACCGGAUUAGAUACCCGGGUAGUCCUAGCCGUAAACGAUGCUCACUUGGUGUGGGGGCGAAGGUCUCCGUGCUGAAGCUAACGCGUUAAGUGAGCCGCCUGGGGAGUAUGCCCGCAAGGGUGAAACUCAAAGGAAUUGACGGGGGCCCGCACAAGCAGUGGAGCGUGUGGUUUAAUUGGAAGCUAAGCCAAGAACCUUACCAGGGCUUGACAUGCUGGUGGUACUGAGCCGAAAGGUGAGGGACCUUACCGCGAGGUAAGGAGCCAGCACAGGUGGUGCACGGUCGUCGUCAGCUCGUGCCGUGAGGUGUUGGGUUAAGUCCCGCAACGAGCGCAACCCCUGCUCUUAGUUGCCAGCACGAAAGGUGGGCACUCUAAGAGGACCGCCGGCGACGAGCCGGAGGAAGGAGGGGAUGACGUCAGAUCAGUAUGCCCUUUAUGCCCUGGGCUACACAGGCGCUACAGUGGCAGGGACAAACGGAAGCCAAGCCGCAAGGUGGAGCUAAUCCGAGAAACCCUGUCGUGGUGCGGAUCGAGGGUUGCAACUCACCCUCGUGAAGGCGGAAUCGGUAGUAAAUGGCCGAAUCAGCAAAUGUCGCCGUGAAUACGUUCCCGGG